GAGACGCUACGGACUUAAAAUCCGUUGGCUUUAUUGACCGUGAGGGUUCAAGUCCCUCUACCCCCA
rnacentral:tRNA from 2 species